CCUACGGGAGGCAGCAGUGGGGAAUAUUGGACAAUGGGGGGAACCCUGAUCCAGCCAUGCCGCGUGUGUGAAGAAGGCCCUCGGGUUGUAAAGCACUUUCAGUGAGGAAGAACGCCUGGUGGUUAAUACCCAUCAGGAAAGACAUCACUCACAGAAGAAGCACCGGCUAACUCCGUGCCAGUAGCCGCGGUAAUACGGAGGGUGCGAGCGUUAAUCGGAAUUACGGGGCGUAAAGCGCGCGUAGGUGGCUUGAUAAGCCGGUUGUGAAAGCCCCGGGCUCAACCUGGGAACGGCAUCCGGAACUGUCAAGCUAGAGUGCAGGAGAGGAAGGUAGAAUUCCCGGUGUAGCGGUGAAAUGCGUAGAGAUCGGGAGGAAUACCAGUGGCGAAGGCGGCCUUCUGGACUGACACUGACACUGAGGUGCGAAAGCGUGGGUAGCAAACAGGAUUAGAUACCCUAGUAGUC
rnacentral:rRNA from 1 species